UACGGAGGGUGCAAGCGUUAAUCGGAAUUACUGGGCGUAAAGCGCACGCAGGCGGUCUGUUAAGUCAGAUGUGAAAUCCCCGGGCUUAACCUGGGAACUGCAUUUGAAACUGGCAGGCUUGAGUCUUGUAGAGGGGGGGUAGAAUUCCACGUGUAGCAGUGAAAUGCGUAGAGAUGUGGAGGAAUACCGAUGGCGAAAGGCAGCCCCCUGG
rnacentral:rRNA from 1 species